CCCGUCUCUAGUAAAAAUACAAAAAUUAGUCAGGCGUGGUGGUACAAGCCUGUAGGCCCAGCUACUUAGAAGGCUGAGGCAGGAGAAUCACUUUAACGGGGAGGCAGAGGUUGCAGCGAGCCAAUAUCAUGCCACUGCACUCCAGCUUGGGUGACAGAGUGAGACAUCAUCUCAAAAAAAAAAAAAAAAAAAGAAAAGAAAAACAUAUGAUGCCGGGGCAUCUCAGCCUCAAUACCUGCAUGAGCACAGUCAUGUCCAGGCCAGGGCUGCUGGUCGAGGUCCGGCCCCAUUUCUCCCAGCAGAAAGGGAGUAAGCUUGCAGGGAGGCUGGGGGACAAGAUCCCAGGAUCUCAGCCUCUGCUCAUGGAUCAGCUCUGAGACCCCGAGUGAGCUGGGGGUGCUCUGUGUGCAUUGGUUUCCCCAGCUGUCAAGUAAAGGGAUUGGAUGAGGAAGCCUUGUCAAGGUGGAACAAUCUCAGAUUUGGGGCAGCAGUGAAUGAUCCUGCUCCCUGGGCCAUGCCAGUGGCCUGGCCUCAGCUGAACACAGCCCCAACACUCUGGAAUGGGGAUGAGGGGGCAGUCAGCUCUUGCUCCUAGUAAGAGAGAUGCAGUAGGGCUCUGUGGCUGAGCUGGGUGCCUUGCCUCAGACCUGUAAUCCCAACCUUUGAGAGGCUGAGGCGGGAGGAUUGCUUGAGGCCGGGAAUUUUGAGAAUAGCCUGGACAACAUAGCAAGACCCCAUGUCUACAAAAUAAUAAUAAAACACACAGCUAUAGUCCAAGCUACUUGGCAGGCUGAGGCAGGAAGCUCCCUUGAGUCCGGGAAUUGGAGGCUGCAUUGAGCUAUAAUCGCACCACUGCACUCACUCCAGCUUGGGUGACAAAGUGAGACCCUGUCUCUAAAAGAAAAAAAAAUCGGCCUGUGAGCAUGGGUUUGAUUUUCAAAAAGGACCCGGAGGGUAGGGACAGACAGUGCUGUCACUCUUAGGUGCUGAACACUCAGAAGCGGACCAGCGGCAGCCCUUUCCUCACCUGCAGACACCAGAUUGGGCAGAACAGCACGUGGCACUUGCAGCUCUUGCAGUGAGGGCAGAACCCAGUGUCAACCCUUCUGCCUGUGGGAGGGGCUGCUGAGGCCUGCGGAGAGGCCAGGAUGGAGGCUCGUCCCCUUGUCCAGCCCUUGGCAUGGUCUCCAUCAGGUUCCCAGCCCACCAGUGCAGGGCGCCCCUGAGCCUGCUGCUGCCACGGGCCCUGUCUCUACCCAGGACGUCCCCCUACCCUCGCAGUGUCAGGGAAAUUAUCAUGGUGGUGGUGACACUCUGCAGGCAGGGCUGCUGAGAGAACCUGAGAAGGGUCACACUGCAGGCAGGGGCCCAUGUGACAAGCCCCUCUCACCCCGAGAGAGCUGACCAGGCAGCUCACGAGCAGAGCCACAUCCUGGGAGUCUGAGAAAGGUCCUGGCUGGGCUCAGCCACCUCAUUGGCUAUGGGCAGCCUUUGUUGUGUGAGCCUUGCUCUCCUGGGGAGGCUCAGGCUGACGGCUGAUGUGGGCAUUGCCGAGGGUAACCUGUGGCCCAGUGGAUAUGGCUGGGUCUCCUCAAGCUGCAUUCAUUCAAGUAGGACCCAGGGUGCAUGCCCAUCUCCAGCCCAGGGCAGCUCCCCUGUAAGCUGGGUGAGCUACUGAAGCCAAGGCGGGAGGCAGCUGACAACACCCACGGCCCAUGUGGAGGUGGUGGAAAGGCUGGACUCAGCAGCAACACCAAAUCCUGGACCAGGCAGAAACCACCCAAGACUGAGGGGCUCGUGCCAGAGCAGUGGCCACAGUUUCAAGGUAACAGAUGCACAUCAUGAGACCAGAGGAGGCAGAGACAAGGGCUGGAUUUGGCUUUUCUAAGCAACAUGAGUUCCUGCGCACAGCUGAAUGGUCGCUGAGACAGAUGGAAGCCAGGACAGGGGAGCCCACCGGGCCCAGAUAGGUACCAUUGGGAAUGAAUUCUGUGCUGUUGUUGCCAAUCCUGGAAUGAAGUGAGACUCCCCUCCUCAGCCUCCUGACAGAGUCAUCUCAUUUCUUCUUUGAAAAAUUAAAGAACGAAGCAAGCAAUUCCAGGCGGGGGAUCUUAGCCAUCAUUUCAUUUCUCCGGCAGCAAACAAUAUAAUGCUAAGCAGGGGAAUUCUGCUUCAUGACUUGAGUUGAUGUUACUGAGCCCUGGAGCACAUUUAUAGCUGAUAAGAAGCAUGGAAAAAUCCUUAUUUAACAAUGAGGAAGAGGUGACAUGAAUGCUGACCUCCUUGGUCUAGAAAGACCAGGAAUAUUGUUGCUGUCCUGUAAGAGUAGUCAAUGGUCAAGCAUACCUGUGUGCUACCUGAGCAAGAAUCAGAAGACAGCCCCUCUACCUUGGCAUCCAGGGGUAAUCAGCAAGUUACCAACAGAAGUACCACAUUUAGAUUUCUCCACUAUGAGCUGGGAUGGGAGACAGAAGAAAACAGCAGGCUUGAGGUCCUUAUGACAUUCUGCUUCAGUGCUGGGGAGUGUCCUCAGACUGUAGCAAAGUAGGGAG